GCGAGUGAGCGGCAAAAGCUCAAAUUUGAAAUCUGGCGUCUUUGGCGUCCGAGUUGUAAUUUGAAGAAGGUAUCUUUGGGCCCGGCUCUUGUCUAUGUUCCUUGGAACAGGACGUCACAGAGGGUGAGAAUCCCGUGCGAUGAGAUGACCCGGGUCUGUGUAAAGUUCCUUCGACGAGUCGAGUUGUUUGGGAAUGCAGCUCUAAGUGGGUGGUAAAUUCCAUCUAAAGCUAAAUAUUGGCGAGAGACCGAUAGCGAACAAGUACAGUGAUGGAAAGAUGAAAAGAACUUUGAAAAGAGAGUGAAAAAGUACGUGAAAUUGUUGAAAGGGAAGGGCUUGAGAUCAGACUUGGUAUUUUGCAUGCUGCUCUCUCGGGGGCGGCCGCUGCGGUUUACCGGGCCAGCAUCGGUUUGGAGCGGCAGGAUAAUGGCGGAGGAAUGUGGCACGGCUUCUGCUGUGUGUUAUAGCCUCUGACGAUACUGCCAGCCUAGACCGAGGACUGCGGUUUUUAACCUAGGAUGUUGGCAUAAUGAUCUUAAGUCGCCC
rnacentral:rRNA from 1 species